AUUGAACGCUGGCGGCAUGCUUUACACAUGCAAGUCGAACGAGUGGCGAACGGGUGAGUCACGCAUCGGAACGUACCUAGUCAAGGGGGAUAACUGGCCGAAAAGACAGCUACUACCGCAUAUUAUUCUAGCGGCCGAUGUGUGAUUAGCUGGUUGGCGGGGUAAAGGCUCACCAAGGCGACGAUCCAUAGCGGGUCUGAGAGGAUGACCUGCCACACUGGAACUGAGACACGGUCCAGACUCCGACGGGAGGCAGCAGUGGGGAAUAUUGCACAAUGGGCGCAAGCCUGAUGCAGCCAUGCCGCGUGAAUGAAGAAGGCCUUCGGGUUGUAAAGUUCUGUCGGUGACGAGGCGUUAAUCACAGAAGAAGCACCGGCUAACUACGUGCCAGCCGCCGCGGUAAUAC
rnacentral:rRNA from 1 species